rnacentral:rRNA from 1 species
GAGGCACUGCCUGCCCAGUGACACAUGUUCAACGGCCGCGGUACCCUGACCGUGCAAAGGUAGCAUAAUCACUUGUUCUCUAAAUAGGGACUUGCAUGAAUGGCCACACGAGGGUUUAACUGUCUCUUACUUUUAAUCAGUGAAAUUGACCUAUCCGUGAAGAGGCGGAUAUAACUAAAUAAGACGAGAAGACCCUAUGGAGCUUCAAUUUAAUAAUACAAACAAACGUUCUAAAUACCUACAGGCACUAACCCACUGUCAAUGUAUUAUAAAUUUUGGUUGGGGUGACCUCGGAGCAUAACACAACCUCCGAAAAGCAUACACCAAGACCUCACUAGUCUAAGUAAUUCACACUCAUUGACCCAAUAACUUGAUCAACGGACCAAGUUACCCUAGGGAUAACAGCGCAAUCCUAUUUUAGAGUUCAUAUCGACAAUAGGGUUUACGACCUCGAUGUUGGAUCAAGACAUCCUAAUGGUGCAGCCGCUAUUAAGGGUUCGUUUGUUCAACGAUUAAAGUCUUACGUGAUAAUGGAGCCUACUUCACAAAGCGCUCCCACAAAUCAAAUGAUUAUAAUCUUAAUUCACAAAUUAUUACCCCUGCCCAAGAACAGGGCUU